CCCGCUGAAUUUAAGCAUAUCACUAAGCGGAGGAAAAGAAACUAACCAGGAUUCCCCUAGUAACGGCGAGUGAAGAGGGAAAAGCCCAGCACCGAAGCCUGCGGCAGUUUUGCCGUUAGGCAAUGUGGUGUUUCGGUCGGCUCGCGGGACCGCCACUCCAUUCGAAGUCCAGCAUUGAGUAUGGUAACCUGGAUUUGGCCCAGAGAGGGUGAAAGGCCCGUGCGAAUGGAAGUCACAUACAUGUGAGGCGGUUCAUCAGGUCGACCUUCGAGUCGGGUUGUUUGAGAAUGCAGCCCUAAGUGGGUGGUAAACUCCAUCCAAGGCUAAAUACAGACACGAGUCCGAUAGCGAACAAGUACCGUGAGGGAAAGUUGAAAAGUACUCUGAAGAGAGAGUAAACAGUACGUGAAGCCGUAUGGAGGUAAACGGGUGGCGUCAAGCUGCAAGCCCAGAGGAUUCAGUUGGUCACUGUGUGUGUAUGCCUGUGUACUUCAGUCGGUUAUAGCUUGGACAGUCCACCGGUAAACGGAGGGCCCGGCCGUCAGGCUGGGAUGUACGUUCCACCAGGUUGGUGGUGUACGCUGUUCGACUAAUGGACUGGGUGGCCAAUGCACUUCCUCUGAUAUGGUGAACACCACGAUCGGUGGUACUGCCAGUCUGGUGUGGCCAAGUUGCGCCUAGUUUGGCACCUGUGUCGACUGCGCGUGAUCACAGGCAGGUUUGGUGGACGGUGGGCUUGCCCAUGUUAUCGGUCACCGCUUGUCAACGGGUCUGCUUGUUGUGGUUACACUCCACAUGCAGGUGGCCUGGUGGGCUACACUGGUAUGAAUAACUGUGCAGGGCACCGGUGUUAGCGGUCUCAAAUCCGGACGGCGCGCAAAGUGUAAUUGUUGGUGGAAAGGUGCGUGGUCGCGGCCUGCCGGUGGUCGGGUCUGAUCGUCGUGUUGCCUACGCAAAGUGGGUUCGGCGGUGGCCUGCUGCCGGUCGGAGUCGUGGGUCGCGUUCCUGGCGUCGCCUGGUGUGGAUCGUACAAUCCGUGGUGUAGUGGUAGACGAGCUACCCGACCCGUCUUGAAACACGGACCAAGGAGUUCAACGUGCACGCGAGUCAAUGGGCGUAACGAAACCCAAAGGCGCAGUGAAAGUGAAGCUUGGACUUGUUCUCCAAGUUUGGUGAGAUCCGGCUGUUUCUCGCAUCUGCACUUGUGUGUCAGCACAGUGUAAAGAGCGGUCGGCGCAUCACCGGCCCGUCCCAUGAUGUGGCCAUUGGUUGGUUGUGGCUGUGGCUUCGGUUGCAGUCAUGGCUCCAGUGCGUCAUCGGGGCGGAGCAUGAGCGUGCAUGUUGAGACCCGAAAGAUGGUGAACUAUGCUUGCGUAGGUUGAAGCCAGAGGAAACUCUGGUGGAGGACCGCAGCGAUUCUGACGUGCAAAUCGAUCGUCAAACGCGAGUAUA
rnacentral:rRNA from 1 species